UACGUAGGGUGCGAGCGUUGUCCGGAAUUAUUGGGCGUAAAGGGCUCGUAGGCGGUCUGUCGCGUCGGGGAGUGAAAACUCAGGGCUUAACCCUGAGCCUGCUUCCGAUACGGGCAGACUAGAGGUAUGCAGGGGAGAACGGAAUUCCUGGUGUAGCGGUGAAAUGCGCAGAUAUCAGGAGGAACACCGGUGGCGAAGGCGGGUCUCUGGGCCGAUAUUGACGCUGAGGAGCGAAAGCGUGGGGAGCGAACAGG
rnacentral:rRNA from 1 species